CUACGGGAUGCUCCAGUGAGGAAUAUUGCGCAAUGGGGGGAACCCUGAUGCAGCAACGCCGCGUGGAGGAUGACGCAUUUCGGUGUGUAAACUCCUUUUAUAUGUCAAGAAAAUGACGGUAGCAUAUGAAUAAGCACCGGCUAACUCCGUGCCAGCAGCCGCGGUAAUACGGAGGGUGCAAGCGUUACUCGGAAUCACUGGGCGUAAAGGACGCGUAGGCGGGUUGGAAAGUCAGGUGUGAAAUCCUACAGCUUAACUGUAGAACUGCACUUGAAACUUCUAAUCUAGAGUAUGGGAGGGGGAGAUGGAAUUAGUGGUGUAGGGGCAAAAUCCGUAGAUAUCACUAGGAAUACCUAAAGCGAAGGCGAUCUCCUGGAACAUUACUGACGCUAAGGCGUGAAAGCGUGGGGAGCAAGCAGGAUUAGAUACCCGGGUAGUC
rnacentral:rRNA from 1 species